rnacentral:lncRNA from 1 species
AUUCCUUUCUUCUUCCUCCUUAAGGUCUAAACGUUUAUUGAACGGAGGCUCAAAACCGAGUUACUGAACUAGGCUUUCAGUAGUAGACACGUGUCAUGUUUAAGAUUUAUUUUAUUCAUUUCCAUCCAUUGUGCCAAAGGACCUGCUCCAGGAAAAUGCUCCCCUGUUGAUAGGUGCGGGAGAGUAAAAGGGAGACGAUGAAGCUAAAUUAAAACUGAAGUCCUUUGUGCUCAGGGAAUAUGACCUUAGAGUGGGAGAGGGGCGGGGAGUGAGUAGAAAAGUCGGCGAAGCAAAAAUAAGGAAGGUUGGGGCCCUGUAACCUAGCAUCCUGAAAUAUCAGCGUAGGUAAGGUAGCAGGCAAGGCACGAAUGCACUCAAAGCCCAGGUGUACUUCCCUCAUCAAAUGCUGGCUCCCGAAGGGUACUGAGGGGAGGGGUCACGCGGGGGGAGGGGGGGUGUCCCUGGAUGGUUUUUUCCUCUUUAGGGACCUGCUUGCCGGAUGAUUCCGUCUCCCACUUGCUUCUCUUCGGCUCCUUCUUUCCCAUCUGCCAGGGGAGCUUAAAGACAUCUCUGCCGCCCAGUUACAAAAAGUGGCAACUUCCCCUCCGGCCCGCAGACUGAUCGCUCAUUUGAAUGCGUUUCCUUUUCAUUAAGAACAAAGGUUGGAGUCCGAGCCUCGCGGCGCGGCGGCCGGAAAGUACAAGAUGUGUGUCGAGAGCAAACACACACACACACACACACACACACACACACACACACAGAAUGACCCACGAGAAAGGGAAAGGGGAAAACACCAAUCCUGCGCUGGGCUUUUUCGACUUUUCCUUUAAAAAGAAAAAAGUUUUUCAAGCUGCGCGGGCUUCCUGUGCGCGGCUGAGCCGGGGCGCAGCGCGACGGUCCCAUCGGGCGGCCUCCACCCUCGGGACGCGAGCGGAGCGCCGAGCCCAGCGGCGAUCACGCGACGCGGGGAAGGAAGGAAGAUCUCUCCUUUCAAAGAUAACUAGCCAAAUGAACAUAAUAAACAAGUCCAAGCAGUUGGAGGGGCGGCCGCCACCCCACCGUCUCCAAAUAACUGAUUCGCAUUUCCGAGACGGUUCACCUGAAGCCUUGCCUGCCACCUUGGUUCUCCCACCUGAAGGAGAUGGUUCUAAUGGUGGCGCAAACCAGGAAGGGGAAAUCUGUGGUUUACGUUCUCUGUGCCUCAUCCCUCUCGGAGAGCUGGAGGCUUGCUGGAGGCUAUAUGCUGUUAAUGCUAAUUGUGAUAGGGGUUUUUACCUCCGUCUGACUCCUACAUGUUAGCAUUAACAGGGUAUGAUGCCUGUUACUAGCAUUCACAUGGAACAAACUGCUGCUGUGGGAGGAUGACAAAGAAGUGUGAGUCACCCUGCUGGAUAAACUCAGACUUUAAGCUUUAUUAUUUUUUGUUAAUCAUAAUCUGGUCACUGGGAUGUUCCACCUGAUAGUAAGUCUUAAGAAUAAGGUCUUGUAAAAGAUUUAUCAAUGGUAUCCUGAAAGCAAACUUUUUUACUUUAAUCCUGAAGCCCACAUAUUUUUAAAAAAAAAUCUUUAAUGGAAAAUGUAUUCCUGUCCUUUUUAAUUCACAGUUAUGGUUUGUUCAUUAUAACUGUUUAUAAACUUUGAAUAAUUUAACUGGAAAGAAAUAUAGACUAAACACAUUCUGAGUAUCUUUGCAGUUAAAAAUUAGGACUACUAUCCACUAAUUAAUCAUGGAUUGUUGGGAAAUAUGUUUAAAAAGAUUUAGAAAUAGGUAUUCCCCCCAUGUAACAAUUCUAUUUAGACAACUUCAGUUUCAAAUGGAUACUUUUAUAUGAAUCUUAAAGUAGACUUGAAAGGCUAUGGCAAUUAGUUUUUAAAAAAUGAAAGAUUUCAUUCUUUUUUAUGGCUGAGUAGUAUUCCAUUGCAUAUAUAUACCACAUAUCCUUAAUCCACCCAUUCGUCUGUCGCUGGACAUUUAGGCUGUUUCCAUUUGCAGCAACAUGGAUGCAAAUAGAGAUUCUCAUACUAAAUGAAGUUAAGUCAGAAAGAUAAAGACAAAUUCCAUAUGAUAUCAGUUACAUGUGGACUCAAAAAUAUGGCACAAAUGAACCUAUCUACAAAACAGAAACAGACCCACAGACAUAGAGAAUAGACUUGUGGUUGCCAAGGGGGAGGGAAGAGGGAGUGGGAUGGAUGGGCAGUUUGGGGUUAGUAGAUACAGACUAUUACAUUUAGAUUAGAUGGGCAAUGAGGUCCUACUAUUCAGCACGGGGAACUAUAUCCAGUCUCUUGGGAUAGACCAUGAUGGAAGAUAAUAUAAGACAAGGAAUGAAUAUAUACAUAUGACUGGGUCACCCUGCUGCAAUAGCAGAACUUGCCACAACGUUGUACAUCAACUAUACGUUAAUAAAAAAAUCAAAAAGAUUUUUUUAAAAUUAGUA